GACGAACGCUGGCGGCGUGCUUAACACAUGCCAGUCGAACGGAAAGGCCCUGCUUUUGUGGGGUGCUCAAGUGGCGAACGGGUGAGUAACACGUGAGUAACCUGCCCUUGACUUUGGGAUAACUUCAGGAAACUGGGGCUAAUACCGGAUAGGAGCUCCUGCUGCAUGGUGGGGGUUGGAAAGUUUCGGCGGUUGGGGAUGGACUCGCGGCUUAUCAGCUUGUUGGUGGGGUAGUGGCUUACCAAGGCUUUGACGGGUAGCCGGCCUGAGAGGGUGACCGGCCACAUUGGGACUGAGAUACGGCCCAGACUCCUACGGGAGGCAGCAGUGGGGAAUAUUGCACAAUGGGCGGAAGCCUGAUGCAGCAACGCCGCGUGCGGGAUGACGGCCUUCGGGUUGUAAACCGCUUUCGCCUGUGACGAAGCGUGAGUGACGGUAAUGGUAAAGAAGCACCGGCUAACUACGUG
rnacentral:rRNA from 1 species